rnacentral:rRNA from 1 species
GGUUAAGCGACUAAGCGUACACGGUGGAUGCCCUGGCAGUCAGAGGCGAUGAAGGACGUGCUAAUCUGCGAUAAGCGUCGGUAAGGUGAUAUGAACCGUUAUAACCGGCGAUUUCCGAAUGGGGAAACCCAGUGUGUUUCGACACACUAUCAUUAACUGAAUCCAUAGGUUAAUGAGGCGAACCGGGGGAACUGAAACAUCUAAGUACCCCGAGGAAAAGAAAUCAACCGAGAUUCCCCCAGUAGCGGCGAGCGAACGGGGAGCAGCCCAGAGCCUGAAUCAGUGUGUGUUAGUGGAAGCGUCUGGAAAGGCGCGCGAUACAGGGUGACAGCCCCGUACACAAAAAUGCAUAUGUGAGCUCGAUGAGUAGGGCGGGACACGUGGUAUCCUGUCUGAAUAUGGGGGGACCAUCCUCCAAGGCUAAAUACUCCUGACUGACCGAUAGUGAACCAGUACCGUGAGGGAAAGGCGAAAAGAACCCCGGCGAGGGGAGUGAAAAAGAACCUGAAACCGUGUACGUACAAGCAGUGGGAGCACGCUUAGGCGUGUGACUGCGUACCUUUUGUAUAAUGGGUCAGCGACUUAUAUUCUGUAGCAAGGUUAACCGAAUAGGGGAGCCGAAGGGAAACCGAGUCUUAACUGGGCGUUAAGUUGCAGGGUAUAGACCCGAAACCCGGUGAUCUAGCCAUGGGCAGGUUGAAGGUUGGGUAACACUAACUGGAGGACCGAACCGACUAAUGUUGAAAAAUUAGCGGAUGACUUGUGGCUGGGGGUGAAAGGCCAAUCAAACCGGGAGAUAGCUGGUUCUCCCCGAAAGCUAUUUAGGUAGCGCCUCGUGAAUUCAUCUCCGGGGGUAGAGCACUGUUUCGGCAAGGGGGUCAUCCCGACUUACCAACCCGAUGCAAACUGCGAAUACCGGAGAAUGUUAUCACGGGAGACACACGGCGGGUGCUAACGUCCGUCGUGAAGAGGGAAACAACCCAGACCGCCAGCUAAGGUCCCAAAGUCAUGGUUAAGUGGGAAACGAUGUGGGAAGGCCCAGACAGCCAGGAUGUUGGCUUAGAAGCAGCCAUCAUUUAAAGAAAGCGUAAUAGCUCACUGGUCGAGUCGGCCUGCGCGGAAGAUGUAACGGGGCUAAACCAUGCACCGAAGCUGCGGCAGCGACACUAUGUGUUGUUGGGUAGGGGAGCGUUCUGUAAGCCUGUGAAGGUGUGCUGUGAGGCAUGCUGGAGGUAUCAGAAGUGCGAAUGCUGACAUAAGUAACGAUAAAGCGGGUGAAAAGCCCGCUCGCCGGAAGACCAAGGGUUCCUGUCCAACGUUAAUCGGGGCAGGGUGAGUCGACCCCUAAGGCGAGGCCGAAAGGCGUAGUCGAUGGGAAACAGGUUAAUAUUCCUGUACUUGGUGUUACUGCGAAGGGGGGACGGAGAAGGCUAUGUUGGCCGGGCGACGGUUGUCCCGGUUUAAGCGUGUAGGCUGGUUUUCCAGGCAAAUCCGGAAAAUCAAGGCUGAGGCGUGAUGACGAGGCACUACGGUGCUGAAGCAACAAAUGCCCUGCUUCCAGGAAAAGCCUCUAAGCAUCAGGUAACAUCAAAUCGUACCCCAAACCGACACAGGUGGUCAGGUAGAGAAUACCAAGGCGCUUGAGAGAACUCGGGUGAAGGAACUAGGCAAAAUGGUGCCGUAACUUCGGGAGAAGGCACGCUGAUAUGUAGGUGAAGUCCCUCGCGGAUGGAGCUGAAAUCAGUCGAAGAUACCAGCUGGCUGCAACUGUUUAUUAAAAACACAGCACUGUGCAAACACGAAAGUGGACGUAUACGGUGUGACGCCUGCCCGGUGCCGGAAGGUUAAUUGAUGGGGUUAGCCGCAAGGCGAAGCUCUUGAUCGAAGCCCCGGUAAACGGCGGCCGUAACUAUAACGGUCCUAAGGUAGCGAAAUUCCUUGUCGGGUAAGUUCCGACCUGCACGAAUGGCGUAAUGAUGGCCAGGCUGUCUCCACCCGAGACUCAGUGAAAUUGAACUCGCUGUGAAGAUGCAGUGUACCCGCGGCAAGACGGAAAGACCCCGUGAACCUUUACUAUAGCUUGACACUGAACAUUGAGCCUUGAUGUGUAGGAUAGGUGGGAGGCUUUGAAGUGUGGACGCCAGUCUGCAUGGAGCCGACCUUGAAAUACCACCCUUUAAUGUUUGAUGUUCUAACGUUGACCCGUAAUCCGGGUUGCGGACAGUGUCUGGUGGGUAGUUUGACUGGGGCGGUCUCCUCCUAAAGAGUAACGGAGGAGCACGAAGGUUGGCUAAUCCUGGUCGGACAUCAGGAGGUUAGUGCAAUGGCAUAAGCCAGCUUGACUGCGAGCGUGACGGCGCGAGCAGGUGCGAAAGCAGGUCAUAGUGAUCCGGUGGUUCUGAAUGGAAGGGCCAUCGCUCAACGGAUAAAAGGUACUCCGGGGAUAAACAGGCUGAUACCGCCCAAGAGUUCAUAUCGACGGCGGUGUUUGGCACCUCGAUGUCGGCUCAUCACAUCCUGGGGCUGAAGUAGGUCCCAAGGGUAUGGCUGUUCGCCAUUUAAAGUGGUACGCGAGCUGGGUUUAGAACGUCGUGAGACAGUUCGGUCCCUAUCUGCCGUGGGCGCUGGAGAACUGAGGGGGGCUGCUCCUAGUACGAGAGGACCGGAGUGGACGCAUCACUGGUGUUCGGGUUGUCAUGCCAAUGGCACUGCCCGGUAGCUAAAUGCGGAAGAGAUAAGUGCUGAAAGCAUCUAAGCACGAAACUUGCCCCGAGAUGAGUUCUCCCUGACUCCUUGAGAGUCCUGAAGGAACGUUGAAGACGACGACGUUGAUAGGCCGGGUGUGUAAGCGCAGCGAUGCGUUGAGCUAACCGGUACUAAUGAACCGUGAGGCUUAACCUU